ensembl:lncRNA B-cell receptor CD22-like
UGGUUCUGGGUCAGAAUGGCUGAAGGGUGACUUACAACACUCAGAAUAUCUGUGCCUUGAAGAGGUCAACAGUGAAUCUGACCUGCUCUUACACGUAUCCCAGAGGUCAUACAGUCACAGAGACAUCAUGGUUCUAUAGAUGGUCUGUUGUGAAACCUCAGAAUGAUGAUCGUGUGGAGUACUAUGGGGACAGAGUGAAUGACUGCACCCUGAGAAUCACAGACCUGAGAGAGAGCGACUCAGCUGAGUACUGGUUCACAUUCGAGACUCAGAUCCUACAAGGUCAUGUCUUUCAAAGUGUGAGAAGUGAGAGCUAUUCUGGCAGUCCUGGAGCCAGGCUGUCCGUCACAGGUACACUAUUUUGUAAUGCUUUAUCAGUUACAUUCAAGUCUUUGGAAAUCUGUUUUAAUUUGACAUUAUACAGUCCAUUAGGAAUGACAGUCUGUAUAUAAUAUGGACGUCUUAUUUCAUUUGAUUACAAUGGUUGUUGGGUAAGUUGAUAAGGUUAUGUUUGUUUUUAAUCACAGGCCUGAAGGCAAAAUGUCAAACUAUAGUGACAGAGGGACAGGCUGUGACACUGACCUGCAGCACCACCUGUACUCUGACUGACAACCCCAACCCCACCUACAUCUGGAACAAGAACAGACAACGUCUCACAAACCCAAAUACCAAAAUAACUAGCUGUACCUAGACCCAGUCAGCAGUGAGGAUACAGGCAGAUACUCCUGCGCUGUAAACGGCCAUGAAAAUCCCCCCUCUGCUGAACAGACUCUCGCUGUCAGAUGUGAGUACAAUAAAUAUAUUAUAAUCUAACUGUAAUUUAAUUAUAGUCUUAUAUUUUGGGUACACUGUGUGUUCAUUUGUAUGUCAUUCCCAACACCAGAUGGCCCAAAGAGUAUCAGUCAGUCCUUCUGGUAAAAUAGUGGAGGGCAGUUCAGUGACUCUGACCUGCAGCAGUGAUGCCAACCCACCUGUGGACAAAUACACCUGGUACAAGAAGAAUGUAACCUCACCAAAAGCAUCAGGGCAGAGUUACAGCAUCACUAACAUCAGCUCUGAGGACAGUGGAGAAUACUACUGUGGGGAUGAGAAUACGAUUGGAGCCCAGAUAUCUACACCUCAAUUGAUCAUUGUAGCCAGUAAGAUGUGUUUUUAUUUAAAAUUUCAAGUUACACUAUCAGAUAACAUUCAUAUCAUUCUUUAUGCUUUAGGGAAACAAGCUUCUGUGAAGAAUGCAUCUGUAGGAAUCAUAGUGGUUGUUCUGGUUCUCAUCCUCUGUCUCUCUGUCCUCAUGUGGUUCAGGAAGAAGGCCUCCAAAUCCAUCUCCGACACAAGAGACAGAAGAGACACAGUAGAGAAUGGACAGCAAGACUCUAGUCCUGUGUAUGACAACGUCUCAGGCAUGGCCAUGACCCAUACUGCAGCACCGACAGUGGACACAGACAACCAGGAUAGCGUUCACUACGCCAGCAUCCAACACAGAAACCAGGAAGUGCCUGAAUACUCCACUGCCCAACCGUCUCAACCCCAAAAACAGGAGGAGGAUGUCCAGUACGCUGCUGUGAAAUAUAACCACAACAGUGCUGUUGACAUGCCAGUAGAGACCACUGUGGUACAGUACACUGGAAACACCAGGUUUUAGUGUAGCUGGUGAGACAUACAAAAGUAAAGAGAAAUAAGCCAAUUGUUAUGGACGAAUUAUAGGGAUAUUUUCCAACUAUUCUUCUUGUAUAAUAUGUUUGCUCCAAAAAUGCAUUUCUUGUAAAGACCUUCACUGACGUUUUGGUUGUUAGGAAGAGGCCUCAUGAAGACAGGACGUCAGCUCUGCAUCCCAAUUUUAGUCCCUCAGUACUUCUAGUUGGUGUCAACCUCAGACAUCACAUUAUUCUGUUUCACACUGUCAGUAGGUCCCCUGCCAAACCUCUCUCUCUUCACCUUGUAUCACUUGAUAAUAUAUUAUACUGAACCAUACCAUGUUCUAGUUUAUUAGAUAUUUUUGCAAUAUGAACGCUUGCUUCUGAACAUCAUUUAAAAAAUGUCCAUUUGGUGUGUGGUUUCAUACAUUUUGUUUUGUUCAGCAUUGCUGAUUCCAUAUAAAUGUUUUAAUAAAGACUGUUUAAAAAAGUAUAGUUGAGUACGUAGAGAAGACCAGGAUAUGUUGUUGGCCUGGGUCCCAAUACUCAAUGUUAUAGUCAUGGUCCUGAGAACAGAGACCAGGAUAUGUUGUUGGCCUGGGUCCCAAUACUCAAUGUUAUAGUCAUGGUCCUGAGAACAGAGACCAGGAUAUGUUGUUGGCCUGGGUCCCAAUAUUCAAUGUUAUAGUCAUGGUCCUGAGAACAGAGACCAGGAUAUGUUGUUGGCCUGGGUCCCAAUACUCAAUGUUAUAGUCAUGGUCCUGAGAAUAAAAC